GACGAACGCUGGCGGCGUGCCUAAUACAUGCAAGUUGAGCGCUGAAGGUUGGUACUUGUACCAACUGGAUGAGCAGCGAACGGGUGAGUAACGCGUGGGGAAUCUGCCUUUGAGCGGGGGACAACAUUUGGAAACGAAUGCUAAUACCGCAUAAAAACUUUAAACACAAGUUUUAAGUUUGAAAGAUGCAAUUGCAUCACUCAAAGAUGAUCCCGCGUUGUAUUAGCUAGUUGGUGAGGUAAAGGCUCACCAAGGCGAUGAUACAUAGCCGACCUGAGAGGGUGAACGGCCAAAUUGGGACUGAGACACGGCCCAAACUCCUACGGGAGGCAGAGGUAGGGAAUCUUCGGAAAUGGACGAAAGUCUGACCGAGCAACGCCGGGUGAGUGAAGAAGGUUUUCGGAUCGUAAAACUCUGUUGGUAGAGAAGAACGUUGGUGAGAGGGGAAAGCUCAUCAAGUGACGGGAACUACCCAGAAAGGGGCGGCUAACUACGU
rnacentral:rRNA from 1 species